rnacentral:rRNA from 1 species
UGUCGCGGUGAAUACGUUCCCGGGUCUUGUACACAACGCCCGUCAAACCAUGAAAGUGACCAACACCCGAAGUCCGAUUCGUCGGCCUAAGGUGGGGGGCAUGAUUGGGGUU